rnacentral:rRNA from 1 species
GUAGUCCACGCCGUAAACGAUGGGUACUAGAUGUUGCAGGAAUUGACCCCUGCAGUGUCGCAGCUAACGCAUUAAGUACCCCGCCUGGGAAGUACGGUCGCAAGAUUAAAACUCAAAGGAAUUGACGGGGGCCCGCACAAGCGGUGGAGCAUGUGGUUUAAUUCGAUGCAACGCGAAGAACCUUACCUGGACUUGACAUCCUCGGACCGGCGUAGAGAUACGCCUUCCCCUUCGGGGGCCGGGAGACAGGUGCUGCAUGGCUGUCGUCAGCUCGUAUCGUGAGAUGUCGGGUUAAGUCCCUUAACGAGCGCAACCCUUAUCCCUAGUUGCCAUCAUUCAGUUGGGCACUCUAUGGAGACUGCCGGUGUUAAACCGGA